CACAAAGAAUGUCUGUUCUAGGUUUCAAAACUCCAGCUUAAAUCAUCCAUGACAAAUAAGCGUCAUUGUACCGAUGGUUUGGGCCGGAGACGUCGCAAUAAGGAACAUUGGAAGGACGACGUGUGUUCUACCUGUGUAUGUAAAUCUGGUCAAGUACUUUGUCGAACUCGGUCUUGUCCACCGCCCACUUGCAACAACCCUGUGAUUAAACCUGAUACUUGUUGUCCAACGUGCUAAAGAUCACUUCAACUUUCUUAAUGUGUUAAGCCUGAUUAUGUCCGAGUUACUUGACGAAGUCGUGCAUCAAGUACACAGGCGUCAUCUGGAGAAUGACUUUAUCAUAAAAAAAAAAAGUGGACGGAGAAAAAAAACUAAGAGAAAAUUCGGUUGUUUUAAAACUUCAUUAUUAGGCAUUAUUGUUUAUUUUUUUAAAUGUUUAAAACUACAUCGGUUACCAACUGUUGACCAAUGAAAGAUCACAUAUUUUAUAUUGGAGGAGGUAAUAAGAUCCUACAUGAUCGAAACCCAGUACAGUGGACGUCAGUUAUUCAAAUAUUGAUGUGUAUGCUUUGCAUUUUUUUAUUUGUGUGCAAUUAUAAAUACCAACUUACUUUGAAAAUACCUUGCAUAAUUGAUUUUGUGUUUAUAUUUUCAACUUACUCUAUCAGUGUUUCUAAGAAAGCUGUACGUUCUUAAACUAUAAUCUCUGUUUUUAGAAAUCGCAUUAUUUUGCUUCGUUAGUCUCGUUUUAUUCAGUUUGGUCUGUAAAAAGUUGAAUGUGUACUUUCUUUAACGAACUUAAAAGUAUUUUGGAAAAAAA